rnacentral:misc_RNA from 1 species
GGUAGAUGUCAUGGCGUCUUUGCUUUGCUUCUGAUUUUGGGGUUUUGGAUCACAUCUUCUUCUUCUUCUGCUAAUUCCUUCUGAUUUUUAUCUCUCCCUAUUUCAUACAAAUGGCUUAUAGAAGGAAGCAACAUACUGCUACUACAAAGCCUUCAAUCUCCACUUCCUAUGACGAGGAAGUGGAAGACGAUGACACCACCAACUCUUCUUAUUCUUCAACUUCGCUUGCCGCUAAAGCCAUAAGAGCAUCUUCAGCCGCCCAUCGGGAUUCUUCUCUCUCCUCCGCAUACGGCUUCAAACAGCCCCCUCUUUCUUCCUCCUUUUCUUCUUCUUCUUCUUUUCCUGCCUCAAACGUCACCGUCACCAGCACCAGCACCAGCACCACUUCUUUUUCUUCUUCCAAGGAUUCGAAG